rnacentral:tRNA from 2 species
GCCCGGGUGGCGGAAUUGGCAGACGCGCUGUCUUGAGGGGGCAGUGCCCUUUGGGUGUAUGAGUUCGAAUCUCAUCCCGGGCACCA